CUGGCGGCGCGCCUAACACAUGCAAGUCGAACGAGAGAUGAGGAGCUUGCUCUUCAAAUCGAGUGGCGAACGGGUGAGUAACGCGUGAGGAACCUGCCUCAAAGAGGGGGACAACAGUUGGAAAUGACUGCUAAUACCGCAUAAGCCCACGGCUCGGCAUCGAGCAGAGGGAAAAGAUUUAUCGGUUUGGGGUGGGCUCGCGUCCGAUUAGGUAGUUGGUGAGGUAACGGCCCACCAAGCCGACGAUCGGUAGCCGACCUGAGAGGGUGAUCGGCCACAUUGGGACUGAGACACGGCCCAAACUCCUACGGGAGGCAGCAGUGGGGAAUAUUGGGCAAUGGAGGAAACUCUGACCCAGCAACGCCGCGUGGAGGAAGAAGGUUUUCGGAUCGUAAACUCCUGUCCUUGGAGACGAGUAGAAGACGGUAUCCAAGGAGGAAGCCCCGGCUAACUACGUG
rnacentral:rRNA from 1 species